rnacentral:lncRNA from 1 species
UUUAGUUCUUAUAUAUUCUUUGCAAUUUGGAAAUUUAACCGCCUUCAAUUUUAGUAUCCUUGACGCGACGCCAAGGAACACGUUGCUUGGGAUCGUCCGCAACUGAUUCUCUAGCCCGUGGAUGAGGUGGGCGGAUGUGGAUGACCGCACACGUGGGCUGAUUAUUGUUGAGUUUAAGGUAAGAAGUUAUUCAUUCAUAUUUAGUUUUAAUUUGUGCUUUUGAAUAUUUAUUUACUGUUUUGCUUUAUGUUGUCUACUAAUUAAGUAAUUGUUGAUAUUCAUAUGUUGUAUUGCAGAGAUAUAUAUUAUCG